CAUGUUGCUCAGGAUGGGUUUCAGAUCAUAAUUUUCUUCCAGUUUAAAUCUGGGUAAAGACAGCCUCACUUCUGUACUGUCCAUCAUUUCAGGAUUGAUCCAAUCCAUCAGCUUCUCGUAUGUAAGUUCUCUUUCCAGCUUUUCCAAGCCAGUAGAUUCAUCCUGGAUUGCAUCAGGGAGUAGAACGAUCAUACUGAGUUCAUUACCAAUGUAAGGGAUCUCAAGGAUUUUGGUCUCCAAGUCUCCAAUAUAGGUCAUGUUGUAUUUACCUUUUCUGAACAUCAUCUGCACAGGUUUGGUUUCAUUCUUGUUAAUUUUAAAUGGCAUUUCUUUUGUGCGCUCUUUGUCAAACUUCUCUUCCCAGUUGCCUUUGAAGUAGAUGGCAUUCACCAACACAAGUUUGGUCAUUGAGUUAAUAAUUCCCUCUGCCAACAAUUUUUGAAUUUUACCUUCAGUCUUCUCUUCCACCCAGCCAUUUAUUUGCUUUCUGGAAUCCUCUGAAGCAUUUUUGAAGUCAGUCUGUUCUAGCCCAGCAUGGUAGAAUUUCUGACUCGAUUCUAUAAAUGACUGCCAUGAACAUUUAAAACAGCUUUUUAGCAAUGCAUUUUACUGACAUUCAGCCACAGAUGUUUUUAAGUACACUGAGAAAAAU
rnacentral:lncRNA from 1 species